UGCUGGUUUCUUUUUCUUUCUUUACAUUUAUCACAGUACUGCAUUUUAUUUGCUUUUUUUAAAUGUCUGCUGCUGCCUGAUUGUGUACUUCCAGUUCUAAGUGAGGCUUGUGGUUGACUGGUCACUUCCUAACUCUGAGGUUCUACUGUAUUUUAGACAACUCUGAACAAAGUUUGGAA